CAUCAUCUGCAUUCAAAACACGUUCGGCAAACAUACGGAGUCAUCUUGACCCACUGUUCAGAAGAGCUCUGCCCUCAUUCCUAAAGACUGGAGCAAUAAGAUUCAUGUCAGGAUCAAUUAUCAACUCUGUGGACCUUGAAUUUGAAUCAUCAUCUACUCCUAAUGAUACACAAAUUAUAGAGGUUUUGGUGAACGAUAAUUCAAGCGUCACAGAAUUCAAGAUACUACAAGAAACGAUUGUUAUUGGUGACCCAGCAACCACAACAGAAGCUCCAACCACCACCACAGUGGCUCCAACCACAACCACUGCUGCUCCAACCACAACAACAGC